UGGAUGAGUGAUGACUAUGGGCAGCGUGAGUCACGGAGGAUGACUGUGUGUCUGGGACUCCAAGGUCCAA